rfam:Triticum aestivum genome assembly, contig: Triticum_aestivum_CS42_TGACv1_scaffold_375234_5AL
CUAAUACUCCUGUCCGAAAAACUGUCAUCAAAAUGGAUAAAAGAAAUGUAUCUAGACGUAUUUUAGUUUUAGAUACAUCAUUUUUUGUCUAUCUUAAUGACAAAUAUUUUCGGACGAAGGGAGUAGUUU